rnacentral:rRNA from 1 species
CAGGCUUAACACAUGCAAGUCGAGGGGCAGCAUGGUCUUAGCUUGCUAAGGCCGAUGGCGACCGGCGCACGGGUGAGUAACACGUAUCCAACCUGCCGUCUACUCUUGGACAGCCUUCUGAAAGGAAGAUUAAUACAAGAUGGCAUCAUGAGUCCGCAUGUUCACAUGAUUAAAGGUAUUCCGGUAGACGAUGGGGAUGCGUUCCAUUAGAUAGUAGGCGGGGUAACGGCCCACCUAGUCUUCGAUGGAUAGGGGUUCUGAGAGGAAGGUCCCCCACAUUGGAACUGAGACACGGUCCAAACUCCUACGGGAGGCAGCAGUGAGGAAUAUUGGUCAAUGGGCGAGAGCCUGAACCAGCCAAGUAGCGUGAAGGAUGACUGCCCUAUGGGUUGUAAACUUCUUUUAUAAAGGAAUAAAGUCGGGUAUGGAUACCCGUUUGCAUGUACUUUAUGAAUAAGGAUCGGCUAACUCCGUGCCAGCAGCCGCGGUAAUACGGAGGAUCCGAGCGUUAUCCGGAUUUAUUGGGUUUAAAGGGAGCGUAGAUGGAUGUUUAAGUCAGUUGUGAAAGUUUGCGGCUCAACCGUAAAAUUGCAGUUGAUACUGGAUAUCUUGAGUGCAGUUGAGGCAGGCGGAAUUCGUGGUGUAGCGGUGAAAUGCUUAGAUAUCACGAAGAACUCCGAUUGCGAAGGCAGCCUGCAAAGCUGCAACUGACAUUGAGGCUCGAAAGUGUGGGUAUCAAACAGGAUUAGAUACCCUGGUAGUCCACACGGUAAACGAUGAAUACUCGCUGUUUGCGAUAUACUGCAAGCGGCCAAGCGAAAGCGUUAAGUAUUCCACCUGGGGAGUACGCCGGCAACGGUGAAACUCAAAGGAAUUGACGGGGGCCCGCACAAGCGGAGGAACAUGUGGUUUAAUUCGAUGAUACGCGAGGAACCUUACCCGGGCUUAAAUUGCAGAUGAAUUACGGUGAAAGCCGUAAGCCGCAAGGCAUCUGUGAAGGUGCUGCAUGGUUGUCGUCAGCUCGUGCCGUGAGGUGUCGGCUUAAGUGCCAUAACGAGCGCAACCCUUGUUGUCAGUUACUAACAGGUUCCGCUGAGGACUCUGACAAGACUGCCAUCGUAAGAUGUGAGGAAGGUGGGGAUGACGUCAAAUCAGCACGGCCCUUACGUCCGGGGCUACACACGUGUUACAAUGGGGGGUACAGAGGGCCGCUACCACGCGAGUGGAUGCCAAUCCCCAAAACCUCUCUCAGUUCGGACUGGAGUCUGCAACCCGACUCCACGAAGCUGGAUUCGCUAGUAAUCGCGCAUCAGCCACGGCGCGGUGAAUACGUUCCCGGGCCUUGUACACACCGCCCGUCAAGCCAUGGGAGCCGGGGGUACCUGAAGUGCGUAACCGCGAGGAGCGCCCUAGGGUAAAACUGGUGACUGGGGCUAAGU